rnacentral:rRNA from 1 species
CGGACCUCCAAUCAGUCAAGAUUACCCGCUGAAUUUAAGCAUAUUAUUAAGCGGAGGAAAAGAA